rnacentral:rRNA from 1 species
UACGUAGGGGGCAAGCGUUGUCCGGAUUUAUUGGGCGUAAAGAGCGUGUAGGCGGUUUGGUAGGUCCGCUGUGAAAACUCGGGGCUCAACCUCGAGACGCCGGUGGAAACCAUCAGACUAGAGUCCGGAAGAGGAGAGUGGAAUUCCUGGUGUAGCGGUGAAAUGCGCAGAUAUCAGGAAGAACACCCGUGGCUAAGGCGGCUCUCUAGUACGGUACUGACGCUGAGACGCGAAAGCGUGGGGAGCGAACAGG